CUCUUCGAACGCCUGCCUCUGCAGCCGGUCCCGCCGCCUCAGCUCCUCCGAAAUGUGGCGCUUCCAGCGGGGGAAGUCGGCGGCGCGGAGGCCCGACGACAUCUCGCGCGCUGCCCCGGCGCCUGAGCGCCGCUAAUCCGAGCGGGGGCCGGCAGCCGCGGGCCGCAGCAUGAGCGACCAGCGCACGCCGGAAGGGCCGGCGGCCCACACCUCGCUGCCACACACCGCCCCGCCAAGAGCCGUCCGGGACCGUCUUCCGGCUCUUGCCGGAAAGGGCUGGGGUCAGGGCCGGAAAGCCCGCCUCCUCACCCGACGUCUGACGCCGCGCGCGCGCACGUGACCAGGGGCGACGCCGGGCGCUGGCUAAUGACGCGCUCCCGAGGCCGGAAGCGCGGGGUGCGGAGAGGCGGCCGCUGGGAGGCGUGCGGGCUGCGCUGGAGUCUCCGCCGCCGCCGCCUGUCGGUUUACGCUUCGUUCCCUUCGCUGCCUUCCCCCGAUUUAUAUUUUUCUUGGUCGGACUUCCUUUCCUUCAUCGCUUCCGUUGACCAGCAGGAGGGGGAGCCGCUCCCCACACCGGAGAUGAGCAGCCUCGCUGAGCCUCAGUUUCCUAGCCCGUGAAGUGGGGGCCCUGAUGGUACCGACCUCAGGGUUGGCGUCAGGAUUAAAAGGAAUAACCUGUGGAAGGCAGCGAGCACGACGCCUGGGUCACCGCAAGCCUGACUUCACCUGCCCCCCCCCCCCCCCCCCCCCCCGGUAUCUUCCUGCCCGCAAAAGUCGGGCUGCUUUAGACUUUUGCAAAGUGCCCCCAUUGCCCUCGGGAACAGGUGUUUUACAACGAAGAAAUGGAAUGCAAAGAACCGUUAAAAGAAAAAUACCAAAAAAAAAAAAAGAAAAAAAAGAAAGAAAAGAAAAGAAAAAUACCAUUAGGUCGACUCUAUUACUGGUUAGAAGCCUGGGAAUGAUCCAUAUGACCUAACGGUAAACGGGUUCUUCGAAGGUAAUCGAAGGGUGGGGACGGUUUGCCAGGAAAUCUUGCAGAUGGUCCGUGGACGACAGGCUCUUGAGAAGAUAGCAGCUGUCAACUCAGUAGAACGGGAAUGGUGUGUGAUCAAAUCAUCCAAACUCCGUUUACCUUUAACAAGUUGGUGAAUCUGCGUGAAAAUGGAACACCCCCGAAGUAGGAGGCCAGAGGAUGAUGAAAGGAGUAUCAGAGCCUGGCUUCUCAUCCACUGUGGCUCAAGUCCAGGGUCUCCUUUAGGGACAGAUUUAAAAAAAAAAAAAAAAAAAAAAGCCUUUCCUCUUCUGUGGAGCCUGAGACACUUCGUUGGCAGUCAGUACUGAGUGAUCUGAAUUUGUAGGAAGGACAAGGAAAAGUCAAAUACAAGAGACUCGGAGCACCUGGGUGGCCUGCCUGCAGCUCAGGUCAUGAUCUUGGGGUCCUGGGAUGGAGCCCGGCUUCAGGCUCCCUGCUCAACAGGGAGUCUGCUUCUCCCUCUGCCCGUGCCUCUCCUUCUGUGCUCUCUCAAAUAAAAUCUAAAAAAAAAAAAAAAAAAAGAAAAAAUAUCGAAGGAACUUAUUCAUAUACUGAAGAAAAUGAGAGAGCAAUGUUCUGAAAGUCACCGAAAAUGCCUCCAAAUAUAACAGUGGCAUCAACCUCAAAAGACCAUAUAGCACCAGAUCUUGACGGUUGAAUGUGCUGAUUUUCCAGACAAGAUUAUGAUUAAAACAUGCUAACAGGUCUGCAGAACCAGUGAUUCCACUUGGAGAAACUUGUGUUAAAUAUUUGGACUAAUGUCCAUAUCCAGAAGCAUCUGUCAUAGUAUUGUUCGUAAUAGAAAAUUGGAAACAGCCUGUAUUUUAAACAAUAAGAGGUUAAAUAUUGUGUAUUUAUUGCUCAAAAAAAUGUUUCUUUUUUUAAAAGAUUUUAUUUAUUUAUUCAUGAAAGACAGAGGGAGAAGCAGGCUCCACGCAGGGAGCCCAACUUGGGACUCGAUCCUGGGUCUCCAGGAUCACACCCUGGGCUGAAGGCGGCGCUAAGCCACUGAGCCACCUGGGCUGUCCUCAAAAAAUGUUUCUAAUAAAAACAGGGUAUGGUGUAAAUCUAAUUUAUGUGAAAUGAAUGCAUCCUUGGCUCCUUAUGGGCAAACCUUGUCAAAUGAAUAGAGAAGAUAAUCUCUAAACUAAGGAUACUAAGCUCUGCUUGGGGUGCCCUCUCCCUAACCCACCAGCUUUAUCUAGUACACUGCAGCCACGGUGGGCCCUUUUACUCCUUUCCACACACCCUACUCUCUCCCACAGCAGGGCCUCUGGAUUUAUUGUGCUUCUGUCGUAUGCACCUUAUGACUUCAAGUUAAUUCCUAUGCAUUAAUUCUCAGCUCAGUAAUCACUGCCUCAUAGCCUUCGAUAAAAGACCUUCACAACUAGGUCAGGUCUCUACAUGUGUACCUCCUAUGGAGCAACAAUCACAGCUGCAGCUUCAUGUAGUUAUAUCAUUACUUGAUGACGGUGUGUCUCCCCCCAGCAGAUGGUAAACUCUGCAAGAGUUACAAGAUGGUAAACCCAGCAGGAGCUGUGUAUCCUUUUUGCUCAACAUAGCCAUAGCCAGCAAGAGCAUGAAGCUUGUUAUAUAUUAGGCUCUCAGUAAAUGCUAUUUAUUUUUUUAAUAUUUAUUUAUUUAUUUAUUUAUUUAUUUAUUUAUUUAUUUAUUUAUUUAUGAGACAGAAUGAGUGAAAGGGAGAGGAAGAGAGAAUCUGAAGCAGGUGCACUGAGCAGAGAGGCUGAUGCAGGGCUUGAUCCCAUGACCCCGAGAUCAUGACCUGAGCUGAAACGAGUUGGACGCUCAACCGACUGAGCCACCCAAGUGCCCCAGUAAAUGCUGUUUAAUCAAUGAAUGCAAUAUAUGAAAACACCAAUAGUUUUAAACUCUUGGUGUUGGUAUCGCUGGUGUGUUUUUGUUUUCGUUUUUGUGUGUAAUUGACACAUUUUUAUUUUACUGUGGUUUUUUCUAUAUCUUAUAUGUUUUCUAAUGAUUACCCAUUGCACCUGUUUUACAUAUGCAAGAAAAAGUUAUAAAAAUGAAUGUGUAUUUAUAAAACCAUUUAUUCAUCAGGGUGCUGAGCUCUGUGGGAGAUAACUAGUAAGCAUGAACGCUUCUACAGUGUUAGAAGCCAUGAACUCUUCUGACUACUUCACGCACUAUAAUUCUUUUAAUCCUCCUAACACCCCUACUUGGUAAGGUUAUUGUGAGAUACUGUUACCAUCUUCAUCCUUAUUUCCAGAUGAGGAAUCUGAAGCAUGGAAAGGCCAAAUAACUUCACUGAGGACACCUGGCUAGUCUGUGGCAAGACCUGGGUUCAAACACAGGCUCCUGACUCGAGCAUCUGUACCCCAUUGUCAGGUGUCUUACAGCUGAUAUCGCAGUUUGACUUGACUAGAAUAUGUAAAAAAGAAUAAAGUGAUGUAUAGUUAAUCCCUAAAUUAGACAAAAAGGAAGGCAAUCUGGUGAAGAGCAAUGUUUGAUGUGGAGGCCCCAGGUGUAUUCCCAGGACUUGAGAAUGCCUGGAUGGGGAUGAGGUUGUCUGAAUAUUCUGAAGACAGAUAAUGAGUCUGAGGAGAAAAGCUUUUGGUUUUGCUCCAUUUAGUAAGGAGUGUUGAAAGGAUUCAGCAUGCUUUGCUGGAAAGCAACAUCUAUGAAAUGGUUUUUGACUGCCUGUUAUGGAAGUAAGAUGAAGCAAAAUAGCCCAAGAUUCUUGUAGUAGUGUGUUAAGCAGCACAAAUUUGCUCACAGAAGAGAGGAAGAAGCAUCACUCACCAAAGAACCUUCUUUGUGCGAAGUCUAGUAUCACUGAAGCUAAAUAUAAUGAGAUUUAACGUAACAGCAUCUCCACUGUCAAAAACUUCCCAGAGACUUUCACCCUAACCAUCAAUGCCUACACACCUCAUCCGUGAGAUCCAAUUCAAUGGCUCCAAUUCAAUGGAUUGCAAGUCCAACUUUCAGACAACUGUCCUGUUUGCUUUGGUCCUUCCCCUUCAGGUGCUGUUAAUAUUUCCUUUUACAAGUGCAAAACUGACACACAGAGGUCAAGUCACUUGUGCCAUGUCAUCAAGUUAGUAAGAGGCAGAGCUCGGAUUCAUUCGAGGCAAACGGACACCCUGAUGCCAGCCAGGAGGAACACACACCUCCCCCAGAUUUAUGUAUGUAUUUUUGCGGGGAGGAGGAGCAGAGGAAGAGGGAAAAUCUCAAGCGAACUCUCCACUGAGCGUGAAGUCCAACGUGGGGCUUGAUCCCAAGACUCUGAGCUCAGGACCUGAGCUGAAACCAAGAGUCGGCCACUCCACCCACUGAGCCACCCAGGCGCCCUCAGAAUGCUUUUGAUUACAAGCUAAGAAGUGCCAUUUGAGCUUCCUUGAGGGAGAGGGAAGGGAGCUGUGGAUCUAGGGCGUUGCAGGGACCUGGUAGCGGGGAGGCAGCUGGACACCAGGAAUCAGUGGACCCAGGAUGCAGAUCCUAUCAGAAUGCUCAGCCCUUUGCACCUGUUUCCCUCUGUAAGUUGCCACUUCCUUUUCCUCUUGUCUGGCAGGUGGGCUCCUUUUGUUUUGCAGUCCUCCCACCCGGGUGGUGAAGACGUGGCACCUCCAACAGCCUGUCAGGACAAGCAAGCCGUGGACUUUGCUGAUAUCUCCCAGCCCCAGGAAUUUUUAAACUGGAUCUGGGAGACAGGGGAAGUCUGAGGAUAUGCAUCAGCUUACACUGGCUACCAUGCCCCCCCACCCAAUGUCUCAUGAAAAGUUUAGUCUGGAAAGAAAAUGGGGCAAUCACACAAGGAGAAGAGGAGACAAGAAGCCAAGAAUCUUGAUGGCAUUGGAGCCCCUGGUUCCAGCCACUCCUGAAACUAGCCCGGCCCAAUUCUAUCCCAGUCCGGUUAAUUGAACCCAUAUAUUUUUGCAUUUCACUAAAACUGGCUUACAUUGUAUGGAGUUUCUUAGAUUUUUUUACUUUUCAGGAGGAAGGAGCAUGCUAGCAGGGAGCCCGAGGGAGAGGGAGAGGGAGAGAGAAUCCUAAGCAGGCUCCAUGCCUAGCACAGAGCCCAAUUCAGGGCUCAAUCUCACAACCCUCAGAUCAUGGCCUGAGCCCAAAUCAAGAGUUGGACACUUAACCAAUUGAGCCCCUCAGGUACCCCAAAGUUGGGUUUUUAUUUUUGCUUGCCAUCCAAAAAUCCUGAUUCAUACAUCAGACAAGGGAUGCCUGGGUGGCUCAGCAGCUGAGCGUCUGCCUUUAGCUCAGAGCGUGAUCCCAGGAUCUGGGAUCAAGUCCCACAUCGGGCUCCUUGUGGGAAGCCUGCUUCUACCUCUACCUGUGUCUCUGCCUCUCUCUCUCUCAUGAAUAAAUAAAUAAAAUUUAAAAAAUACAUCAGACAAACCCAAGAAAGGACUACGGCUGGGCAGGCAAAAUGGUAGGGCUCCCACAGGUGGACAGUGAGUCAGGCUUUCCCCUGUACAAUCCUGACAAACACACCACUCUUCUCACCAUGCACUUUUGGUGUUAAUCAGCACCCCACUUCCAGACUUUGGGGGGAAAAGUGUCUGGAUCUGAAAUCUCCUGAACUUCCGAGUGAGUUCAUCUCUGUUCUAAAUAAUAGUAUUUGUCAGUGAAAGGAAAUUUUCAUAACCCAAAAGUUACAAUUAGAAAUAUUAGGAUAGACCCGGAAUAUGGGAAAAUACUGUUGCCAUAUGUUAGAACUAUUUUCUCUUCCCCCUCAACGGAAAGUGAAGGGACACCAUUUCAACCGGCGCUGUUGGGAGUGACUCACGGGGUAUUAAUAGCUGUGCAGGCCUAGCAAUGCUGCUGCAGGGAGAGCAGACAGCAGGGGAGUAGGAUUCGGACUAAGUAAAUAAGUAAAUAUUGCUUGUCAUGAGAUAUGGAUCUUUGCUGAGAUAUCAAGUGAACCUUUUGUCUUUAAAAAGACCUAAAAAAAAAAAAAAAAAAGACCUAAA